UACGGAGGAUGCGAGCGUUAUCCGGAUUUAUUGGGUUUAAAGGGUGCGUAGGCGGACGCUUAAGUCAGCGGUCAAAGCCCGGGGCUCAACCCCGGCCCGCCGUUGAAACUGGCAGUCUCGAGUUGGAGAGAAGUAUGCGGAAUGCGCGGUGUAGCGGUGAAAUGCAUAGAUAUCACGCAGAACUCCGAUCGCGAAGGCAGCCUACCGGCGCGCUACUGACGCUCAUGCACGAAAGCGUGGGUAUCGAACAGG
rnacentral:rRNA from 1 species